rnacentral:rRNA from 1 species
AGAGUUUGAUCCUGGCUCAGAACGAACGCUGGCGGCAGGCCUAACACAUGCAAGUCGAGCGCCCCCGCAAGGGGGAGCGGCGGACGGGUGAGUAACGCGUGGGAAUUUUCCUCAAGGUACGGAACAACUCAGGGAAACUUGGGCUAAUACCGUAUGAUGUCUAGCGACCAAAGAUUUAUCGCCUUGGGAUAAGCCCGCGUCAGAUUAGGUAGUUGGUGGGGUAACGGCCUACCAAGCCUGCGAUCUGUAGCUGGUCUGAGAGGACGAUCAGCCACACUGGGACUGAGACACGGCCCAGACUCCUACGGGAGGCAGCAGUGGGGAAUCUUGCGCAAUGGGCGAAAGCCUGACGCAGCCAUGCCGCGUGAAUGAUGAAGGUCUUAGGAUUGUAAAGUUCUUUCGCUCGUGACGAUGAUGACGGUAACGAGAGA